GAUGAACGCUGGCGGCGUGCCUAAUACAUGCAAGUCGAACGCGCAGCGAAAGGUGCUUGCACCUUUCAAGCGAGUGGCGAACGGGUGAGUAACACGUGGAUAACCUGCCUCAAGGCUGGGGAUAACAUUUGGAAACAGAUGCUAAUACCGAAUAAAACUUAGUAUCGCAUGAUACAACGUUAAAAGGCGCUACGGCGUCACCUAGAGAUGGAUCCGCGGUGCAUUAGGUAGUUGGUGGGGUAAAGGAUUACCAAGACGAUGAUGCAUAGCCGGGUUGAGAGACUGGUCGGCCGCAUUCGGACAGAGACACAGACCCAACGCCUAAGGGGGGCUGCAGUAGGGGAUCUUCCACACUGGGCGCAAGCCUGAUGGGGCAACGCCGCGUGUGUGAUGAAGGCUUUCAGGUCGUAAAGCACUGUUGUAUGGGAAGAAAUGCUAAAAUAGGGAAUGAUUUUAGUUUGACGGUACCAUACCAGAAAGGGACGGCUAAAUACGUGCCAGCAGCCGCGGUAA
rnacentral:rRNA from 1 species